GAAGGACAGAGGUGGGUGUUCCCCCUGUGCCACCUAGAGAAGAAAAUGACUCAUCUAGGGUUUCCAAGGCAUUGAGAGCUUGGGGAUUUUCAGCUUCUGCGUGCUUCUCCAGACCGUUGUGUUGAAGGUCAACCCCAGGUUGAUCAACCUGUAGGUGUGAUGCUGGUUUCUGAGGGUACCUUCUGCCGAGGAGAGUAGACACUGGUUACGUAGGGCAGGGAGUGGAGUAACCCCCGUGGUGAUGGAGAAGUUGAAGGUGUGCUCUCUCCCAGGUGUACAUCGGCCACUCAGAGCCAGUGCACCAGGUGGCCUUCACCCCAGACCAACGGCACGUCAUCAGCGUUGGAGAUGCCAUCUUCCUCUGGGAUUUCCUGGCUCUGCCUGCGGAGAGGUCACCCCAAGGCAGGUAAGUCCACCGUGCUGGGCAGUGCCUUCUCCUGCUUCCCAUCACCUCCCCUGCCCUGUCCCCUCUGGGUGUAAUGCUGGUCCCCUUGCCUCUCCAGGGCUCCUUCCUCCGUGUCCACUCUGCUGCCGGGAGCAGAAGGGAGCUCUGAGAAGCUAAAGGAUGUCUCUGAGACACCUCGGCAGACAGUUCCUCUUCCAUUGUUGUCCUCGCCGCCGUGUUUGGAUGUCAGCUCUGUCCACCAAGCGGGAUGUCAAAGUAAGAGCAACUGCUUGCAGGAAAGGGGAGAAUUAAUCUUGUUUUAGGAGAAACUCCCUGCCUAGUUGAGCAGCAGCCUUGGAGCCACCCCUGCCUGUGAGCCCCAUCCUGGCAGCCCAGUCCACACUUUCCUUCCCCUCACUUUGACAAAGCCAGUAGAGGUGUUGAGGUUCAGCACCCCUUUAUCCUCUGCUCUCCUCCAUACACCAAGCUGCUGGCACAGCUUCUCUGAGGGCCACGGUUCACAGAAUCAUAGAAUGGUUAGAGUUGGAAGGGACCUUAAAGAUCGUCUAAUUCCAACCCCCCUGCCCUGGGCAGGGACACCUCCCACCAGACCAGGUUGCUCCAAGCCCCCUCCAACCUGGUCUUGAACAUUUCAUGGUUAAUACCUUGCUGGGUACCCAGGAGGAAAGGUCUGCUUUGCCCUCCACCCUGACAGACAGGCUGUUACACAGAGCAGGAGAACACCACAGUCAAAGGGUCGGUCACACGUGAAACAGUCCUGAAGGACACGGAUGGCUCUGUCCUCCCACUCAUUGUUCUCUUCAGGUAUUUUCUCCGAGUCGGACAAAGAGGAGGAAGCAUGUCUGCCAGGCAGCAGCAGGACAGUGGCCAACGGAGAGAAAGAUGCCUCAGUCUUUGUGGUGGAGUCGGUCAGAAACGAGGAGCUGCUUGUUGUGAGGCCCAAAGUCAGGCAGGAGAGCUUGAGGUCUCCUGGAGAAUCAGCAAACGGUAAAUCAGGGGGAUUCCCACCUUAUCCAGAGCUCAGCUCCUUAGUGCACAGGCCUGCAUGGCAUCUUGGUUGGAAAAAUAAAUAAAGAUCAUUAUUAACGUGGCA
rnacentral:lncRNA from 1 species